GAUGAACGCUAGCGGCAGGCCUAAUACAUGCAAGUCGGACGGGAUCCAUUGAUAGCUUGCUAUCAAUGGUGAGAGUGGCGCACGGGUGCGUAACGCGUGAGCAACCUGCCUCCAUCAGGGGGAUAGCCUCUCGAAAGAGAGAUUAACACCGCAUAAUAUCAACAGUUCGCAUGUUCAGUUGAUUAAAUAUUUAUAGGAUGGAGAUGGGCUCGCGUGACAUUAGCUAGUUGGUAGGGUAACGGCUUACCAAGGCGACGAUGUCUAGGGGCUCUGAGAGGAGAAUCCCCCACACUGGUACUGCGACACGGACCAGACUCCUACGGGAGGCAGCAGUAAGGAAUAUUGGUCAAUGGGCGGAAGCCUGAACCAGCCAUGCCGCGUGCAGGAUGACUGCCCUAUGGGUUGUAAACUGCUUUUGUCCAGGAAUAAACCUAAAUACGAGUAUUUAGCUGAAUGUACUGGAAGAAUAAGGAUCGGCUAACUCCGUG
rnacentral:rRNA from 1 species